rnacentral:rRNA from 1 species
UACGGAAGGGGCAAGCGUUGUUCGGAAUCAUUGGGCGUAAAGGGCGCGUAGGUGGUUCUGUAUGUCUACCGUGAAAGCGUACGGCUCAACCGUAUUUUGUCGGUAGAAACUGCAGGACUUGAGGCUGGGAGGGGCUGGUGGAAUUCCCUGUGUAGCGGUGAAAUUCGUAGAUAUUGGGAAGAACACCGAUGGCGAAGGCAGCCAUCUGGACCGACACUGACGCUGAGGCGCGAAAGCGUGGGGAGCAAACAGG